rnacentral:rRNA from 1 species
GACGAACGCUGGCGGCGUGCUUAACACAUGCAAGUCGAACGGACAGGCCCCUUCGUUGGUACACGAGUGGCGAACGGGGGAGUAACACGUAAUCAACCUGCCCUUGACUCUGGAAUAACAGUUGUAAACAGCAACUAAUACUUGAUAUUCAUCAUCUACUUCCUGGUGGGUGGUUGGUAACUCCGUCGGUCGUUGUUGGUCUUACUGUCUAUCCGCUUGUUGGUGAGGUAAUGGCUCACCAAGGCUUCGAGGGGUAGCCGGCCUGAGCAGACGACCGACCACACUACGACUGAGCUACGGCCCAGACUACAAUGGGACGCAGCAGUGGAGAGUAUUGCACAGCGGGAGCAAGCAAGAUGCGACAACGCCGCGUGCGGGAUAACGGCCUUCGGGUUGUAAACCGAUUUCAGUAGGGACGAAGGGUUACUGACGGUACCUACAGAAGAAGGCCCGGCUAACUACGUG